UACGAACCGUGCGAACGUUAUUCGGAAUCACUGGGCUUAAAGCGCGUGUAGGCGGAUGGGAACGUCGGUCGUUGAAAUCCCCCGGCUCAACCGGGGAAUGGGCGCCGAAACGACCCGUCUGGAGGGACGUAGGGGGACCUGGAACUUCCGGUGGAGCGGUGAAAUGCGUUGAGAUCGGAAGGAACGCCCGUGGCGAAAGCGAGGUCCUGGACGUCUACUGACGCUGAGACGCGAAAGCUAGGGUAGCGAACGGG
rnacentral:rRNA from 1 species